AGUUAAAUUUUUCUAUCAAUUUUUAUUGUUAAAAACUGAUGUAACCGACGAAAUAAUUAAAUAGUUGCACAUAGCGUGCCUAGUAUACCUCAUUUUGACGUGCAUAGAUCAGAAUUUAAUAAUAGAAAUGGAUAAAAUUUUUAACA
rfam:Gossypium raimondii Chr02_contig_52, whole genome shotgun sequence.